AUACGGGGGGGGUAAGCGUUGUUCGGAAUUACUGGGCGUAAAGGGCUCGUAGGCGGCCAACUAAGUCAGACGUGAAAUCCCUCAGCUUAACUGGGGAACUGCGUCUGAUACUGGAUGGCUUGGAUUCGGGAGAGGGAUGCGGAAUUCCAGGUGUAGCGGUGAAAUGCGUAGAUAUCUGGAGGAACACCGGUGGCGAAGGCGGCAUCCUGGACCGAUAUUGACGCUGAGGAGCGAAAGCCAGGGGAGCAAACGGGAUUAGAUACCCCGGUAGUCCUGGCCCUAAACGAUGAAUGCUUGGUGUAGCGGGUAUCGAUCCCUGCUGUGCCGAAGCUAACGCAUUAAGCAUUCCGCCUGGGGAGUACGGUCGCAAGGCUGAA
rnacentral:rRNA from 1 species